rnacentral:rRNA from 1 species
GACGAACCCGUCCUAACGUUGUUCGGAAUCACUGGGCUUAAAGGGCGCGUAGGCAGGCUAUCAAGUCAGGGGUGAAAUCUUUCGGCUUAACCGGAAAACAGCUUCUGAUACUGGUAGUCUAGAGGGAGGUAGGGCAUGCGGAACUUCCGGUGGAGCGGUGAAAUGCGUUGAUAUCGGAAGGAACUCCGGUGGCGAAAGCGGCGUGCUGGACCUCUUCUGACGCUGAGGCGCGAAAGCUAGGGGAGCAAACGGGAUUAGAUACCCUUGUAGU